rnacentral:lncRNA from 1 species
GGAAGAGAACCGCUGGUGUAGAGCAAAUCAAUUAUGAAACCCGGAUUAUAAUGGGUGGAUAUGAUGCUCAAAAUCAGGAAGUAUCAGGAUGUAUAACUGAAAGUAAUUUACAGACCCGAUAAUGACCCGGAUAGAAUAUGGGUUUAAUCAAAUAAUGCGUGACUUCGGUACAAAUCAGCAAAUGGGUCAGGACUGGAUUAAUAUUGGAUAAUCCGGAUUGAUAAAAAGACAGAAAUGGGCAACAAAAAUAACUCCUAAGCUUUGGAAAGAAAGAAAGGGUAAAUUUAGUAAUUUUCCAAAUCCUUUGCUAGCAAGAUUUAAGAAUAUAUUGAUAUAUUGAUAAAUAAAGAUGUUAUGGACUUGAGAGUGGGCUGAAGCCUCCUGCCCUUGCGAAUCCUCCACUUCUCACAGUCACACGGAUUGAAAAAGGACAUGGUAAAAAUAUUACUCCCUCCGUCCCCUGAAUUGUAUAUAUAUUGAGGGAUAGGGAGG